UACAGAGGGUGCGAGCGUUAAUCGGAAUUACUGGGCGUAAAGCGCGCGUAGGCGGCUUUGCAAGUCGGGUGUGAAAUCCCCAGGCUUAACCUGGGAACUGCAUUCGAAACUGGCAGGCUAGAGUCUUGUAGAGGGGGGUAGAAUUCCAGGUGUAGCGGUGAAAUGCGUAGAGAUCUGGAGGAAUACCGGUGGCGAAGGCGGCCCCCUGGACAAAGACUGACGCUCAGGUGCGAAAGCGUGGGGAGCAAACAGG
rnacentral:rRNA from 1 species